GAAAUGCGAUAAGUAGUGUGAAUUGCAGAAUUCAGUGAAUCAUCGAAUCUUUGAACGCACAUUGCGCCCGCCAGUAUUCUGGCGGGCAUGCCUGUUCGAGCGUCAUUUCAACCCUCAAGCCCCCGGGUUUGGUGUUGGGGAUCGGGCUGCGGUUCUACCGCGUCCCGGCCCCGAAAUCUAGUGGCGGUCUCGCUGCAGCCUCCAUUGCGUAGUAGCUAACACCUCGCAACUGGAACGCGGCGCGGCCAAGCCGUUAAACCCCCAACUUCUGAAUGUUGACCUCGGAUCAGGUAGGAAUACCCGCUGAACUUAAGU
rnacentral:misc_RNA from 1 species